UGGAUAUGUUGUUGCCCUUACAC
rnacentral:piRNA from 1 species